ensembl:lncRNA
UUUGCCAGAUAUCAGAUAUUUUAUUGUAAUAAGUACAUUCUGUAAUGUAAUGGCAUUGUCCUGCAAGUCCUAAUGACUUUUGCUCUAGAAGUGACAGUAAGUGACAAAGGGUAACAGCCGUUCAAAUAACCUCAUUUGUAUUCUUGAACAGAAGUCAAGUCAAUGACUGUGAGAUCACAAUUCAUUCAUUAAAAAGGAAAGGGCUCCUUCAAAGAAACAGCCUUUAAGCUGACGAGUUCUUAGCACUGGUCAUCUUUAAUGAUCUCCACAUCGCCCAGUAUGUGAUCAGAGGUAGUAAUUCCAGCCUACUAAAAGUGUACCAUGGGUUAUAAAAGAUGCUCAUUCUAAUCAGACACCUUUGUAGCUUGGUGCUGCUCACUCAAAGUAGGGGCUAGAAACGAGCUUCCUAUUAAACACUAAAAUGGGGAGUAAACUACUGCACUCUUGAUUUCCAACAAGGAGACUUCAUCUUGCCUACAGAGUAAGUUCCUACACAGGAGAGGGAAAGGUCUAGAAAACAGCAAAGGCAUCAAUCGGGCCUCUUCUGUGUUCUUUACAUAUGCUGUGAGCAGUAGCAGACUCUGUUCUACUUCAAACAAGGUGUGGCAGUGCACACCUUUAAUCCCAGCACUGGGGAAAGAGGCAAGUGGAUUGUUUGAGGCCAGCCUGGUCUCCACAGUGAGUACCAGGACAGCCAGGGCUUUAUAGAGAGCCUGUCUCUAGGAGAAAAAAAAAGGAGAGAGGAAAAGAAAAAACACAGAGACAUUGUUACACAGUGAUGACUUAGCAUGCACAUGCAAACACACACACACAGACAGACACAGACACACAGACAGACACAGACACACCUUUGAGUAUCUGGCAGGCCCACCAUUGCUGCACAGCUUGAGGAAUGAAUAGAAUCCUGCCCUAAACCCAAAAUCUCUAUCAGCAGCAAGACUGGAAAACAGAGGAGAACGGCUGGAGAGUCUGUCUGUAUCUACUCCCAGCCUACGUCUCAGGUGCUGGCCUCACCAGUGACAUACACUUCACAAGUUCUUCAUAAAAGCUUGGCAGCUCUCUUUCUGGGAGAAUUACGGUCAAACAAUUGGAGUUUCUCUUUAAACAAUAAAAAGGAGUUGCCAGAAAUCAGUGUGGCUGUGCAGGGAAGGCCUGUCCUCAGAAAAGGAGAAACUGAAACUAAAACUGACUCUUAAGACGGUCAGACCUUCGCCUCAUUUUGAACUGUAUCCAGACUCUUACAAUAACCAGUGUUUUCAGUUUACAAGUGAUUUAAGAUCAAAAUAAUAAAUUUUAAAGUUAAGCAAGAGUUGAAAACAUAAGUAUCAACAAGGCUUCUUGAGUGAAGUCUUGGACACAUACAACCCUGGGAAAGACUCAAGGCAUGCCAGGGCGUAAGGCACCAUCCACGCCUCGCUCUCUGUAUGCAGCACUGGACAUCCAGAAAGCAGGAUGGGACAGGAACUGGAAAGCAGGCUCCUCACGUCCUCUUGGCUGGCUUGGCUGUCAGCUGCUUCUCUCUUUCAAACUCCCUCUCUCGCUGCUGCUCUCUCUCCAGCUCCUCUUUCUGCCUCUGCUGCUGCAGCUUCAGUGCUCUUUUCUCUUGGAUGUUUUCUCGUGGAGCAGCAACAUCUCUUUCCUUAUGGUCACCAGCUUGGCGUGAUAGUGCUUCGCUUCCGUGAACUUAACACAUUGAUGUCCAGCAUGGAGUGGCAUUCUUUAAAUUUUGAAAUCUCUUGUUCCAGUGUAUCUAGUAACACAACUUGGUUCUGUGUGAGUUCCUGGAGUGCUCGCUUGGACCUCUGCAGAUCUGGUAGGUAGUGGGACAGCAGGCCUCCCACCAGGUGCUCUACAGCUCUGUCCUCCAAAGCCAAAUCCUCUAUCAGUCCUUCAUCUGGAGACCUGUCGCUUAAGCCUGCUCGCCGGCCUCCAGGCUGUCGGAGGGCCCCGUAAGGACCCCGUCCGGGGGCGGUGGCACAGGAACAUUCAUGUCCCUGCACUGGGCGCUGCGUUGGGCGAGUGGUGUGGAGAAGCCAAAGGCAAGACGUAGGAACCUAACAAGUUCGAGCGUCUAGUC